CCAACUGGUCACCAGACCCUAUAACAUAUAAAAAGGGAGCAUUCAGGGCAUACUUUAAAAGAACAUAUCUAUACUCUAUGGAACAAUGAGACCUUACUGCAGAGUUGAAGUAUACAUAUGAGGUUGGCCGACAGCAUGGUUAUGGAAGAGGUUUUUUUAAAAGAUAUACAAGUAAAAGUAAGCCAAGCCCUAGCUCAAAACUCACUCAGUUUGUAUAGCUCAAAUAUAGAUGUGCAGAGCCAGCAGUAUGUUCUGUUACUGUACCCAAUGACAAGACUUAGCUUGGUAAAGAGUGUUCUCAGAAAGGCAAAGAAAAGGCCAGCCAGUUAUAGAACACCAACGAUAUUA
rnacentral:lncRNA from 1 species